rnacentral:rRNA from 1 species
UGGGGAAUUUUGGACAAUGGGCGAAAGCCUGAUCCAGCAAUGCCGCGUGUGUGAAGAAGGCCUUCGGGUUGUAAAGCACUUUUGUCCGGAAAGAAAUGGCUCUGGUUAAUACCUGGGGUCGAUGACGGUACCGGAAGAAUAAGGACCGGCUAACUACGUGCCAGCAGCCGCGGUAAUACGUAGGGUCCAAGCGUUAAUCGGAAUUACUGGGCGUAAAGCGUGCGCAGGCGGUUGUGCAAGACCGAUGUGAAAUCCCCGAGCUUAACUUGGGAAUUGCAGUGGUGACUGCACGGCUAGAGUGUGUCAGAGGGGGGUAGAAUUCCACGUGUAGCAGUGAAAUGCGUAGAGAUGUGGAGGAAUACCGAUGGCGAAGGCAGCCCCCUGGGAUAACACUGACGCUCAUGCACGGAAGCGUGGGGAGCAAACAGG